ensembl:lncRNA
CAUCAUAUCAUAUGUCUGAAAGUAGAAUACAAUGUCUAAGUAACUCUGAUUUAGAGUGAUCCAGUUCUGACCAUAGCCUAUGACAAUGCUCUUGUCCACAUUGCCAUGUUCAUCCUUAAUGGGUGUCUUCUACACACACACACACACACACACACACACACACACACACACACACAGUUACACACAGUUACACACAGUUACACACAGUUACACAAACCCAUACUCACUGCAAAAAAAUUUUAUAUUAGCAAGUGGAAAUAUCUUGAAUAUGGCCAAAUAUGUUUAAUAUUUCUUAUUCAGCUUGUUUAAGAGGCUUGUAUACAUUUAAAGCUAUUAAAUGUUUAUUGUAUUAAAUACAUUUAUAAAAUUUCUUAAAACUAGAAACAACAUAUCUGCCAACAAAACAUUUCAAUUCUAUUCUAUUUCAAGCUUGAAAUGAGUAGAAAAUGUUUACUAAUCUUCUGCUUUAUUUAUUCUAAUCUUGUAGGAGGAAAUGGGAUAAAUAUGACUGAUAUUGAAGAUAUUUUCACUUGUCAUUUUUGUCAUGCAGUUCUCAGAUCAGCAGCAAGCAGUGACUGUGUGUCUGUUACAUGCCUUUCCUGUGCAUUUACAGGCACAAAACGUUCACAUACUCACUUCUCAUGACAUAGUUAAGGCUUAUAAUUUCCUUUUGAGAAUUAGAAAUAGUGUUAAAAGCAGUGACAUUCCAUAUUUACACAUUUAAAAAAUAUCUAAUUAUCAUCCACAUCACAUCCUGUUUUUUUGCUAUAAUUCAGCCUUUAAACAUUAGCAGUGGGACUUAAGGGAAGGGGGCAGGGUUAGUUUCUUCUUUAUGUAUAAUAAAAAGUAUUGAUAUGAUACAGUGAUAUGAAUCAGUGAUGUGGAUACAUGAUGUGAUACAGUGAUGUGAUACAGUGAUGUGAUACAGUGAUAUGAAUCAGUGAUGUGAAACAGUGAUGUGAUACAGUGAUAUGAAACAGAGAUGUGAUAGUGAUGUGAUAC